rnacentral:tRNA from 1 species
GAGGAGUUAGCUCAGUGGGCAGAGCAGUUUUAUAGAAUCAUACUCUAUACAUUAUUCUCUCUAUAUCAAUGAGUAGUGAAGUGUAGAGUUACUUCAAUAUUUGCCUUUUAAGCAACAGGUCACAGGUUCGAAUCCUGUACUCCUCCCU